CCUGAGACGGGAACCGAGCUGGUUUCUCUACUGGUGAUAUAUCCAAUCAUAGUGUUUAUCACCGGGAGUAAAUUGGCUCGGGUCCCGUCUCGGGCU
rnacentral:pre_miRNA from 13 species